AGAGAGACGUGAUAACACAGCUAACAGCAUCAGCACCCCACAGAAUUAAACGUCUUUGGAGACGUGUGGUGCGCAGGAACUAACAUACACAACAAUGUGCUGCACUCAGGAGAGGACAACAAUUCGCUUGACCUGUCAAACAUGUUAGAUAACUUCUGUUGUCACCAUUUAUUUGUCCCAAGACUACAACUAAGUUUUCACACCAUCAGCAGUGGCUGGGAUGACAAUUCACUCAGAACUGAGGGGAAUCUAACACUCAGUCAGUUAUGGAAGAUGGGAAGCAUCCAGCAUGCUGUCGUAGAACCAGAAAUCACAGAGGGACUCUGCCUGCCUCAUAUUGACUGGGACAACAGUGGACUGCUGGAUGACCCACACUGUGGGGUCACUAUUUCUGAAACUGGCAAUGUGUUGAGCCCUGAACAACUUGGUAGCACUGAGGGCAGCCAUGGAUGCACUGGGACAUUCUGAA